UAUACUGCGUGAUCAAGCGAACAGAAGGGAGCUUAGACUCCCGGAUGUUAGCGGCGGACGGGUGAGUAACACGUGGGUAACCUGCCUGUAAGACUGGGAUAACUCCGGGAAACCGGAGCUAAUACCGGAUAGUUCCUUGAACCGCAUGGUUCAAGGAUGAAAGACGGUUUCGGCUGUCACUUACAGAUGGACCCGCGGCGCAUUAGCUAGUUGGUGGGGUAAUGGCUCACCAAGGCGACGAUGCGUAGCCGACCUGAGAGGGUGAUCGGCCACACUGGGACUGAGACACGGCCCAGACUCCUACGGGAGGCAGCAGUAGGGAAUCUUCCGCAAUGGACGAAAGUCUGACGGAGCAACGCCGCGUGAGUGAUGAAGGUUUUCGGAUCGUAAAGCUCUGUUGUUAGGGAAGAACAAGUGCGAGAGUAACUGCUCGCACCUUGACGGUACCUAACCAGAAAGCCACGGCUAACUACGUGCCAGCAGCCGCGGUAAUACGUAGGUGGCAAGCGUUGUCCGGAAUUAUUGGGCGUAAAGGGCUCGCAGGCGGUUUCUUAAGUCUGAUGUGAAAGCCCCCGGCUCAACCGGGGAGGGUCAUUGGAAACUGGGAAACUUGAGUGCAGAAGAGGAGAGUGGAAUUCCACGUGUAGCGGUGAAAUGCGUAGAGAUGUGGAGGAACACCAGUGGCGAAGGCGACUCUCUGGUCUGUAACUGACGCUGAGGAGCGAAAGCGUGGGGAGCGAACAGGAUUAGAUACCCUGGUAGUCCACGCCGUAAACGAUGAGUGCUAAGUGUUAGGGGGUUUCCGCCCCUUAGUGCUGCAGCUAACGCAUUAAGCACUCCGCCUGGGGAGUACGGUCGCAAGACUGAAACUCAAAGGAAUUGACGGGGGCCCGCACAAGCGGUGGAGCAUGUGGUUUAUUUCGAAGCAACGCGAAGAACCUUACCAGGUCUUGACAUCCUCUGACACCCUAGAGAUAGGGCUUUCCCUUCGGGGACAGAGUGACAGGUGGNGCAUGNNGUCGUCAGCUCGUGUC
rnacentral:rRNA from 2 species